CGGCAACAGCUCAAAUUUGAAAUCUGGCUCCUUCGGGGCCCGAGUUGUAAUUUGUAGAGGGUGCUUUGGCGUCGGUCGCGGUCUAAGUUCCUUGGAACAGGACGUCACAGAGGGUGAGAAUCCCGUACGUGGCCGCGGUCCGCCGCCGUGUAAAGCCCCUUCGAC
rnacentral:rRNA from 1 species